AACGAACUCACCGAUGUUUCGUUUCCAAGUGCUGCUGAAUAAGCGCAACUGAAAUGAACCAAUUGCGCAUGAUACACAUCAUUACUCUACUCAAACCAUUCCAAAUCUUUAUACUAUACAUGACACAGGGGCAGCAUAUGCUGAUCUUGCCUAGGGCGGCAGCAGAACUGCUAGGACCGGGCCUGACCAACACAAUCAUUUGCCUCUAAUUUACUUGCGUUUGCGGUGGACCUUGGCCUGCUCAAAGGUAGUCGCUGCUGUUGGGAAGUGAAAACUGUCCAACUCCUUGGAGCACCUUGCAGCCUUGUUACUAAGUCCUCAAGAAGGCGUGAUCUUGACUCUGGUGUUUACUCUGUUUUGGAGAAAGAAUCCCCUCUCAGCAGGUUCAAAUCAACCCAAGAUGAUGAACACUGAAGAUGGAACAAGGUGCAUGACAAGGUGGCCCAGAGGAAGCCAGCUGUUCUCAACCACUACAUUGCCCCAUUACUUCCAAGAGCUCACAGAGUUUGAAUGAAGACCUCUUGUGAGGGGUGAGAAGAGCUGACAAAUCCAAACUGAGGAUGAUUGUUCCGGAGCCCCAUGAGGAACACCUGACACUGCGCUGACUUCUCUCUUCUGCCCAAAAGGUCCCGUUGUGCGUUUCACUGCCUCUUACCCCAAAUCGAGUUGCCUCUGAUAAAAUUGGGAACAAUCCUAGAUCUAACUCCAUCUCCCCCCUUGUCUCUCUCACCACAGCACACCCCAAAUAUAGUUUUUUUAAUUAGUGUGGUAAUGAUGCUCUUAUUUGGUUACAUGUGUUAACUGUUGUUACUUCUAUUGCCAAUUCUGUUGUUAA